ensembl:lncRNA
CCUCUCCAGUGCAUGGGCCAUGUGUCUUUCACAUUCCUGUUCUAUCUGGGAUGGUGUCAUACAGGAGGAGUGUGAUGUCCUGUUGGCGCUACCCUACAUAACUUGUUUACACAAGAUUUUGGUUUCGAAAAGCCUUAAAUAAAUAAUAAGAAUAACUUAAUAGGCCUGACUUUAACCUCCAAAGGGAUGGAGAGACUACAGGUGUAGAGGUUUACACAAGUUUAGACUACAGAUAGAUAGAUAGAUGAAUACUUUAUUAAUCCCGAAGGAAAUUUAGGGUAUACCUGUAGUUUAGACUACAGGUGUACAGGUGUACACAAGUGAUGGAGACUACAGGUGUAGAGGUGUACACAAGUUUAGACUACAGAUGUAGAGGUGUACACAAGUUUAGACUACAGGUGUAUAGGUGUACACAAGUUUAGACUACAGGUGUACAGGUGUACACAAGUGAUGGAGACUACAGGUGUAGAGGUGUACACAAGUUUAGACUACAGAUGUAGAGGUGUACACAAGUUUAGACUACAGGUGUAUAGGUUUACACAAGUUUAAACUCCAGGUGUACAGGUGUACACAAGUUUAGACUACAGGUGUACACAAGUUUAGACGACAGGUGUACACAAGUUUAGACUACAGAUGUACAGGUGUACACAAGUUUAGACGACAGGUGUAUAGGUGUACACAAGUGAAACUGUGCAUGAAACAAGUCAGUGGGAAGAACCCUCAUGCUAUUAUGCAGCUUUAAUGCCUUGCUACUGUUAUGCCAAAGCUAUUAAUGCUAAAUCACGAGUAGAGAAGAAGAAAAAGCAUUUCACAGGACAUGCUGUAGACCUGGUGUCUUCGGGAGCCUCUGGGGAUACAAAGUGUGUGUUUGUGUGUGUGUGUGUGUGUGUGUGUGUGUGUGUGUGUUAUUCUCAUUCUUGAGGACAGCUGUUGCAUUUAACGCCCCACUUCUCCCUCCACGCUUCAGCGCCUGGAGUCCCCCUCUCUCUCUCUUCUUCUCUCUUCCUCUCUCUCUCCGUCUCUCUCUCUCUUCUUCUCUCUUCCUCUCUCUCUCUGUCUCUCACUCUCUCCUCUUACUCUCUCCUUCUCUCUCUGUCUCUCACUCUUUCCUUCUCUCUGUUUCCUUCUCUCUCUCCUCUUACUCUCUCUUUCUCUCUCUGUCUCUCACUCUCUUUCCUUCUCUCUGAUUCCUUCUCUCUGUUUCCUUCUCUCUGUUUCCUUCUCUCUCUGUCUCUCACUCUCUCCUUCUCUCUCUCUCUCUCUCUCUCUCUCUGUCUCUCACUCUCUCCUCUUACUCUCUCUUUCCUUCUCUGAUUCCUUCUCUCUCCUUCUCUCUCUGUCUCUCACUCUCUCCCUCUCUGUCUUACUCGCCAUGGCAGAGCAACAGCAGGUUGCACAUUUACAGAAAAACACUUCACUCACGGGGGUGUCUUACACUACUCUCAGCAGGCAGUGUGUGUGUGUUUGACAAGCACACACACACACACACACACACACACACACACACACACACACACACACACACACACACACACACACACACACACAGCAUGGGAUAAAACACCACCUCAGCAUUUUUUUAGGAAAUGAGACUGAAAGGGUGACAGAGAGUGACAGAGAGUGACAGAGAGAGACAGAGAGUGACAGAGAGAGACAGGGAAGAAGGGAAAAAAGAAAGGACAAACUUCACACAUGAGAGUAUGAGCCCUGAUUCUUCACAAGUAACCAUGGAAACCUCAGGUGCUUAAAUGGGCACCUUUGAGAGGUAGAUGAGAGAUCCGGAACCGAAUUAGAUGGAGCUGUUUCACUCCGUGACCUCUGUGAGUAACUCAUGACAACAAACAAACGCUUCCAAAAGCACACACACCUGGCCUAUGAGGCAAAGUUUGGACCGGCUGUGAGAAUUUCGCACACAGUGAGUAUUUAAGGUUUAGUUCAAGCAAAAACAAGUGGACUAAGAGAAAUGUCCAGUCACCAUCUGAAGAGGACAGUCUCUGUUUAUAGUUCACAUCAAUGGGGUCAACUAGCAGCAAUACAGUAAUAGAAAGAAGCAUAACAUAGUGUGUGUGUGAUUGUGUGUGUACUCUACAUGGAUAUAUAAUUCAAGUCACUCAGUCAUAUCAAAACAAACAUGACAACCAUCCCCUCUCUGCUCCCUGCUCUGCUGGGUGAAGUCUGAACUCCUGGCGAACUCACUCAGACACACACACACACACACACACACACGCUGGUGAAGAGCAGGAGCGCUAGGCUCUGAUUGGACAGAGCGCUUAUCAGAGCAUCAGUCUCCGGCGUCGGAGAUAAAGUCGUCCCUCCUCACCUGCUUAUCUGUGUGCUGCUCCAGGCAGACUUGAUUUUCCUGCACCCACUGCGCAGCUUCUGGCUUUUCUGGCUCCGAGGGAGGACAGUCCCAGACACAGGGCAAAAUGGCUACUCCCGUCGCUAGCGCUACAGGCUAGCGCUACAGGCUAGCAGGCUGCAGUGCUCUCAGUGCCAUCUGCAGAGCAGGAGGCCACUGUUUAGCAUCACAACAAAAAAAAAAACUACUGCUAUUGAAUAUUAAAAACAACCAACAGUACCACUGCACAACUUUGCAGUUAAUAUGCCACAAUAUGUACCACAACACCACUAACAGCACAAAUGUACUAACUAUUACCUAAUUAACUAAAAGUACUCUCUAAAUGACCUGGAUUUAGCUUUUUGCUUUGUUUUGUGUAGAGAGAGCCUUCUGUCUGUCAUUCAUGCUGGGUCCAGUCAACUGGCCAGGUCAUCCAAGAAGACUGACUGACCCCCGUCACCUUUGACCCCAGCAUUGUAAGCAUGAUGAAACAGACUAGUGACAGGUUAGCCAUUAUUACUACUCUACAGGUCAUACAGGCGGUGAUAUGGACCAGUACUAUCUGGCCCUCACCAGAAGUGAAACUAUUGGAACCAGAGUUCCUGGACCUUUAACAGCACAAUUCCUUCACUUUCUCUCUGACAUACAGGAAGUUGUAUAAAAGUGACACAAACGCAUAAGGACAUUAUUGAGGAUCACAAAAGCUGCAAGUGGAAAUAUAUAUGAUAACAACUAUCGAAACUAUAUCACAAUCUAAAGCAAGCUGACGCAUUCAAGAAUACAUGCAAGCAGAUGGAACCGGUUUAAAUGAUAUUAUUCUGAUUGUCAGUCUGUUCUGUUCACAGAAAAAGCAGAUUUUCGGGAUGGUGUUCGUUUAUUUUGACAGGCUGCAUGCGCCGCAUACAGGGGCGCGGAGGCGCACCAACUGCAACGAACACACGGACGCGCGCGGGACCGGGACAGCGCUCGGAGCGGCAAUGAAGUCAUUUCAACGGCCAUGUUGACCCACGUUAAAAAUAACCGAUCUGCUAUAAAUAUAUCCUGUGUGUAAAUAGGGACGCUCUCGCCGUAUAAUAGGGGGGAACUGCCCGGCCAUUGGUUAAUCCAACGGCACCAUUAGUUCUAUUUGGUCCCCGUCCUGAGCUUUCCAGCAAAGUUCACGUUACAUAAGGGCCAUCAGACACCCUGUUUAAACAUAGCCACAUCUUGAGCUCAUGUAGCUAUCAUUAGUGAAGUAGCCUCUUCUGCAAAGUGAAGUAGGCCGCCUCUUCUGCAAACUCAUGGGCACUUGUAUCGGAGUAAUAAACAUCGUAAUAAGGUUGCAUUCGACCAAAAUGGAGGGACGUGUGUCGCCAAUGCACCAGAAAUCAUGCAUUAAUGCAUGGGAUAGAGACAAAUAGUCAUUAGCCUAUAAUCACGUUUAAAAAGUCACGUAGUAGCAAACUUAAACUAAAUUUGAACUUAAACAAUAACAGCAUAACGGCUUUUACUAAAAGCCUAUAGCACAGUCUGUCAGACACUUAUUCAUGCAAGCUAUUUAUGCGAUUUACAAGUCAGGUUCACGCCUUUGCCCACGCAGCAGCCAAGCCAGACACGUAAAAUGACUUUCAAAAUAAGCGAAACAUAAACGUGUUUUAAACUUCCAUUCGUCACCAAAAGUGAUUCCAGUGUGCACACUAAACGGAGCUGACUUAUUUGGACAGAGAAGUGGAAGGCUAGUAGGCUGUAUCACUUACCCGCUGAAGGUCAGAAAGUACAAAGUUGAGAAUAGGAUCGGGAAAACGCGCGACUAUGACAGUGAAUUUAGUAGACUGUACUGUCACUAGCGAUUACUUUCUUCGGUCCCUGAAUAGUUUCUUUAAUACCGCUGAGCGAAGCUAUCUCUUUUGUAACUUCUCCGUAAACUCAACUUCGUCACUCCCCCUUGCACACCAGUAACUAUUUGUUUUCUUUCAGCUUGCCGUGAUGUUACAGUGUUGCUCGCGCUCCGGUCACCUGUAUGCACUUGUGACAGCU